AUUGAACGCUGGCGGCAUGCCUUACACAUGCAAGUCGAACGGUAACAGGUCUUCGGAUGCUGACGAGUGGCGAACGGGUGAGUAAUACAUCGGAACGUGCCCGAUCGUGGGGGAUAACUGCUCGAAAGAGCAGCUAAUACCGCAUACGAUCUACGGAUGAAAGCGGGGGAUCGCAAGACCUCGCGCGGACGGAGCGGCCGAUGGCAGAUUAGGUAGUUGGUGGGAUAAAAGCUUACCAAGCCGACGAUCUGUAGCUGGUCUGAGAGGACGACCAGCCACACUGGGACUGAGACACGGCCCAGACUCCUACGGGAGGCAGCAGUGGGGAAUUUUGGACAAUGGGCGCAAGCCUGAUCCAGCCAUGCCGCGUGCAGGAUGAAGGCCUUCGGGUUGUAAACUGCUUUUGUACGGAACGAAAAGCUCUCUCUAAUACAGGGGUGAAUGACGGUACCGUAAGAAUAAGCACGGCUAACUACGUGCCAGCACGG
rnacentral:rRNA from 1 species